rnacentral:SRP_RNA from 1 species
ACCAGGUAUGGUGGCAUACACCUGUAAUAUCCGCUAUUAGAGAGACUGAGGCUUGCUUGAGCUCAGGAGUUCUGAGCCGCAAUAGGGCUAAAGCUGCUCAGGUAUCUGCACUAAGGCUGACAGCCAUAUGGUGGGCCUUCGGGAGCAGUGAAACACCAGGCUACUUAAGGAGGAGCUAACCAGCCAUGGCUGGAAAUGCAGCAGGUCAAAGCUUCCAUGCCAAUCAUCAGUGAGGCCCAACCCAUGAGUGGCUGCUGUACUUUCAGGUUGGGAAAAAUAGGAAGCACAA